CCUACGGGAGGCAGCAGUAGGGAAUCUUUCACAAUGGGCGAAAGCCUGAUGGAGCAACGCCGCGUGCAGGAUGAAGGCCUUCGGGUUGUAAACUGCUUUUAUAAGCGAGAAAUAUGAUGGUAACUUAUGAAUAAGGAUCGGCUAAUUACGUGCCAGCAGCCGCGGUCAUACGUAGGAUCCGAGCAUUAUCCGGAGUGACUGGGUGUAAAGAGUUGCGUAGGUGGCAUAAUAAGUAGCUAGUGAAAUCUGGUGGCUCAACCAUUCAGACUAUUAGCUAAACUGUUAAGCUCGAGACCGUUAGGGGUAACUGGAAUUUCUAGUGUAGGAGUGAAAUCCGUAGAUAUUAGAAGGAACACCAAUAGCGUAGGCAGGUUGCUGGGACGGUUCUGACACUAAGGCACGAAAGCGUAGGGAGCAAACGGGAUUAGAUACCCCAGUAGUC
rnacentral:rRNA from 1 species